rnacentral:lncRNA from 1 species
GCUAAUGUACAAUCUGUUAUGUUCUGAAGUAACUUGUAGUUGUAUAUUUUAUACUGCUUAUGUACAAUCUGUUAUGUUCUGAAGUAACUUGUAGUUGUGUGUUUUAUACUGCUUGUGUACAAUCUGUUAUGUUCUGAAGUAACAUGAAGUCAUGUGUUUUAUUCUGCUAAUGUAUAAUCUGUUAUGUUCUGAAGUAACUUGCAGUUGUAUAUUUUAUACUGAUUAUGUACAAUUUGUUCUGUUCUGAAGUAACUUGUAGUUGUGUGUUUUAUACUCCUGGUGUAAAAUCUGUUAUGUUCUGAAGUAACAUGUAGUUAUGUGUUUUAUUCU